UACGAAGGGGGCUAGCGUUGCUCGGAAUCACUGGGCGUAAAGCGCACGUAGGCGGAUCGUUAAGUCAGGGGUGAAAUCCUGGAGCUCAACUCCAGAACUGCCUUUGAUACUGGCGAGCUUCGAGUUCGGGAGAGGUGAGUGGAACUGCGAGUGUAGAGGUGAAAUUCGUAGAUAUUCGCAAGAACACCAGUGGCGAAGGCGGCUCACUGGCCCGAUACUGACGCUGAGGUGC
rnacentral:rRNA from 1 species